rnacentral:rRNA from 1 species
UACGUAGGUGGCAAGCGUUGUCCGGAAUUAUUGGGCGUAAAGCGCGCGCAGGCGGUUUUGUUAGUCUGAUGUUAAAGCCCGGGGCUCAACCCCGGUUCGCAUUGGAAACUGUGGAGCUUGAGUGCUGAAGAGGAAAGUGGUAUUCCACGUGUAGCGGUGAAAUGCGUAGAUAUGUGGAGGAACACCAGUGGCGAAGGCGGCUUUCUGGUCAGUAAAUGACGCUGAGGCGCGAAAGCGUGGGGAGCAAACAGG